rnacentral:lncRNA from 1 species
GAGUUCGAAAUACCCUACUCUUGGUCCUCUAGCACAAUGUCUUUACCCUUGUUAGAGGACUCACCACCUAUACACAAUACAUGACAAAUAAUUCAAUAUAUUGUGUCAUAUCAUUAUAAAUCUAUUUCAGGCUCUCUGUAUGAAUGCAUGAGGUGGUUUGGAUAGUCACUUAAAGAUGGUGUUCACGUUGGUUCAAGGGUGAUCAAAAUGGAUCAGUUGUCAACCUAAUUCAAACUCUUCACCUUUGAUUUAACCAAAACAUCCAAAUUGACUCCAAAUAAAUUCAUUUCACUUCCAAUACUCCAAAUCAUCAAAUAUAAGCUAGAUAACAUGAAUUAUAGAAAAGUCAUCCUCAACAUUUUCUCUUGGAAAAUUCGGCCAUGGUGGGUGCAAAAACACUAUGGUUUUUCACACUUGAUUGUUACACCAUAAAUCAUUAAUUCCUAACCAAAUCACUUGAAAUAAAAUCAAAUCCACCAUCCACAUACCAUAAGGAAGAUUCGGCCAAUGAGGGUGAUGUAAGAACAUAAAUUUUUCUUGUUUGCUUUUUAUGCUACGCAUCACCAAACAACUAAAAACACUAGAAUAACAUGAAAUCUAGCUAAAUCCAAGAUCAAAACUCCUCCCCCCAUGUCCGGCCAUCAAAGGUAUCCUCAUGCAAACUUGAUUCUCAACCAUGGAAAAUGAAAAAGAAUGCUUGGGAAAGGUAGAUGACAAGCUAAAAUCAAGAAAUUUUACCUUUACUUGCUUAAUUCCUUGAAAUCCACCAAUUUUCUCUUGAAUUUUCUAACUAGAGUUUUGUUCUUUCUUUCUU